rnacentral:rRNA from 1 species
CCUACGGGGGGCAGCAGUGGGGGAUAUUGCACAAUGGGGGGAACCCUGAUGCAGCGACGCCGCGUGAGGGAUGAAGGUCUUCGGAUCGUAAACCUCUGUCAGCAGGGAAGAACGGUCACUGUGCUAAUCAGCAGUGAAUUGACGGUACCUGCAAAGGAAGCACCGGCGAACUCCGUGCCAGCAGCCGCGGUAAUACGGAGGGUGCGAGCUUUAAUCGGAAUUACUGGGCGUAAAGGGCUCGUAGGCGGUAUGUCAAGUCAAGGGUGAAACCCCCGCGCUCAACGUGGGAACUGCCUUUGAAACUGGCAAACUGGAGUGUGUGAGAGGAAGGUGGAAUGCCUGGUGUAGGGGUGAAAUCCGUAGAUAUCAGGAGGAACAUCAGUGGCGAAGGCGACUAUCUGGCACAUAACUGACGCUGAGGAGCGAAAGCGUGGGUAGCAAACAGGAUUAGAUACCCGAGUAGUC